rnacentral:rRNA from 1 species
GAUGAACGCUGGCGGCGUGCCUAAUACAUGCAAGUCGAGCGAACAGACGAGGAGCUUGCUCCUCUGACGUUAGCGGCGGACGGGUGAGUAACACGUGGAUAACCUACCUAUAAGACUAGGAUAACUUCGGGAAACCGGAGCUAAUACCGGAUAAUAUAUUGAACCGCAUGGUUCAAUAGUGAAAGACGGUUUUGCUGUCACUUAUAGAUGGAUCCGCGCCGCAUUAGCUAGUUGGUAAGGUAACGGCUUACCAAGGCAACGAUGCGUAGCCGACCUGAGAGGGUGAUCGGCCACACUGGAACUGAGACACGGUCCAGACUCCUACGGGAGGCAGCAGUAGGGAAUCUUCCGCAAUGGGCGAAAGCCUGACGGAGCAACGCCGCGUGAGUGAUGAAGGUCUUCGGAUCGUAAAACUCUGUUAUUAGGGAAGAACAAAUGUGUAAGUAACUAUGCACGUCUUGACGGUACCUAAUCAGAAAGCCACGGCUAACUACGUG